GAGAGGUGAAACAAUUCAAGAGAGAGAGGUGAGAAACAAGUUUGACCUAUAUUUUUGCGGUUUUCUCAUGUGAAUGGACACAGGAUUUAAGGGAGGUCUCAGAGCGCACAGGAAAGCUAAGGUUGCACAGCCAGCUGUUGCUCAUGGUAUAAAUGUAGGUGUAGAAAUUAAACCUAUUGAAAAGGUCAUGAGAAGACCAACAUCUCCCCCGUCCCGAACGUCCCCCAUUAACAUCUCUAAAGUCUGUCUAUGUUUCUUCUGUCUUCUAUCUUUAAACCAACCAAAAGCUCCCUUUAGGUUCCCUGGAUUGGUCUACAGAAACAGUUGCUGACUUUUUAAGAGGGUCGCCGUCGGAGAGAGGAUAACAUGGUUGAGAUUCGUAGGAAUCGUCGAGAAGAGAAUUUGCAGAAGAAGCGUCGUGAAGGCUUUUAAUCUGCUGCUUCUCAGCAAUUUCCUUCUUCUGCUGCUCCUUUUGAUAAGAAGAUUGAAAGUCUGCCACAGAUGGUUGCCGGUGUUUGUUCAGAUGAUGGGGCUGCUCAUCUUGAAGCUACUACUCACUUCCGAAAGCUGCUUUCGAUAGAGCGUAACCCACCUAUUGAAGAGGUUGUUCAAUCAGGAGUUGUUCCUCGUCUUGUUGAAUUUUUGGGUAGAGAUGACUACCCUCAGCUUCAGUUUGAGGCUGCUUGGGCACUUACUAAUAUUGCAUCUGGCACAUCGGAGAACACUAAGGUUGUCAUUGGUAUGCUACAUAGCCAUUGUCUCUAAAUACUGUUGAUUUAUGCAAAGUCAUGGUUGGAGUUCAUUAAGUGAGUUUAUUUUCAUUGAAUUUAUACUCAAGCUCCCUAAAUACAUAUGUGGUAAUCAGUUUGUUUUCACUGAAUUCAAAUUUUUCAUUAUGUUUGUCAGGAAAGUGGUGGUGUUUAUUUUCUUAUUUUAUUUGAUACUGCAGAUUGAUGGGAUAUUGACCAUACGAAUGUGACUCGAUCUCAAAUGUAAAUCCAGAACCAAUUAAGCAUAGGCAAGAUGAAUUGUGAUGUGUAAUAGAGGAUAGUGCUUUUUAUAAUUAAUCAAAGGUAGCUUUUAUUUCCACAAAGAAUAUGUUGUACAAGAUGCAGCCUUUGAUGAUGUAUACAAUUUUUUAAAGGUGAGCAAAUUAUUUAGGCAUGGACAAACUAUAUGGAGGUGAGCAAACUAUUUUAGGGUAAUGUAAUUUGAAUAUGAUAUUUAGGAGUGAGAAAAUUCUUUAGGGGUGAACAAAUUAUUUUAGGGUAAUGUAUGUGUGAGCAAUUUAUUUAGGAGUGAGGUAAUUUGUAUAUGAGUUUUAGUGGUGGGCAAUUUAUUUUUAAGUAAGUUAAUUGUAUAUGACAUUUAGGGGGUGAGAAAACUAUUUAAAGGUGGAUAAUUUUGUAUGAUUGCUAGGGUUAUAAAUUCUACAAGGAUAAGUAAAUACUUUAGGGGUGAGUAAUUUUUAUAAAGGUGAGGUAAU